rnacentral:sRNA from 1 species
GUGCCCUUCUGCAGGACCCUUACUUCAUCCAGUCGCCUCUCCCAGAGACAACUUUGGGCCUUAGCCCUCACAGGGCCAGGGGCCCCAUCAUCUCUGACAUCCCAGAAGACUCUCCAUCCCCUGAGGGGACCAGGCUUUCUCCCUCCAGUGAUGGCAGGAGCCCCCCCGCCACUGCCUGUGGCUGUGGUGCAGGCCAUCCUGGAAGGGAAAGGGAGCUUCAGCCCCGAGGGGCCCAGGAAUGCCCAACAGCCUGAACCAGGGGAUCCCAGGGAGAUACCUGACAGGGGGCCUCUGAGCCUGGAAAGUGGGGACAGGAGCCCAGAGAGUCUGCUGCCUCCGAUGCUACUUCAGCCCCCUCAAGAAAGUGUGGAACCUAUAGGGCCUCUAGAUGUGCUGGGCCCCAGUCUCCAAGGGCGAGAAUGGACCCUGAUGGACUUGGACAUGGAGCUGUCCUUGGUAAGAAAUGGGUCGGGGAGGGCAGAGGCCAGGGGUGGCUGCGUCAAGCCCUCUGGUCCAUAGCUGUUCUCUGUGAGCCAAAGCUGUGUCUCUAGAAGAAUUGUCACAGUGAUUUCCCAGCUGUCCCCCUCAGCUGCUAGGUCCCCUCCCCAGCUGCUCCCUGCGGUUCUCACGCAGAUGCAGCCCUUGGUUCCAGAGCGGGGUGAGCCUGAGCUGGCGGUCAAGGGGUUAAAUUCUCCAAGCCCAGGUAAUGGUUGUGAUGACUCCUACCUGGGAGGACGCCGUGAUUGGGCUGAGCUACCUUGAUUGAGUGAGGGGGCAAUCUGCAAUUUGCAGGGAAAUCCUGAGUUCAGGCUGCACUGCAGAGCGUUCCUUGAGCCACCCAUGCCCUCACCAUUGGGCGAGAGUGGGGAGGUUAAGAAUGGAUGUUUCAUCCUAACUGAGCAGAAGGCAGGCGGGCAGGGCUCUCCUUCCCUGAAGAAAGGAGGGGGAACAUUUCCCCUGGUGAGCGCAGUCCCACUUCUCCUAGGGAAGGACCCCACGCUCGGGGCCCCACUCCUGCUGGAUGUCCAGGCGGCCUUGGGAGGCCCAGCCCUGGGCCUGCCUGGG